rnacentral:rRNA from 1 species
CCUACGGGAGGCAGCAGUGAGGAAUAUUGGUCAAUGGACGAGAGUCUGAACCAGCCAAGCAGCGUGAAGGAUGACUGCCCUAUGGGUUGUAAACUUCUUUUAUAAAGGAAUAAAACGAGGCACGUGUGCCUUUUUGCAUGUACUUUAUGAAUAAGGAUCGGCUAACUCCGUGCCAUCAGCCCCGGUAAUACGGAGGAUGCGAGCGUUAUCCGUCUAUAUUGGGUUUAAAGGGAGAGUAGAUGGGUUGUUAAGUCAGUUGUGAAAGGGUGCGGCUCAACCGUAAAAUUGCAAUUGAUACUGGCAGUCUUGAGUGCAGUUGAGGUCGGCGGAAGUCGUGGUGUAGCGGUGAAAUGCUUAGAUAUCACGAAGAACCCCGAUUGCGAAGGCAGCUUACUAAACUGUGACUGACAUUGAUGCACGAAAGUGUGGGUAGCAAACAGGAUUAGAUACCCUUGUAGUC